GAUGAACGCUAGCGGCAGGCUUAACACAUGCAAGUCGAGGGGUAUUGGUUUUCGGCCCAAGAGACCGGCGCACGGGUGCGUAACGCGUAUGAAAUCUACCUUUCACAGAGGGAUAGCCCAGAGAAAUUGGGAUUAAUACCUCAUAGUUUUAAGAAUCAGCAUCGGUUUUUAAUUAACGUCACAACGGUGCACGAUGAGCAUGCGUCCCAUUAGCGAGUUGGUAAGGUAACGGCUUACCAAGGCUACGAUGGGUAGGGGUCCUGAGAGGGAGAUCCCCCACACUGGUACUGGGACACUGACCAGACUCCUACGGGAGGCAGCAGUGAGGAAUAUUGGACAAUGGGCGCAAGCCUGAUCCAGCCAUGCCGCGUGCAGGAUGACGGUCCUAUGGAUUGUAAACUGCUUUUGUACAGGCAGAAACACUCCUACGUGUAGGAGCUUGACGGUACUGUAAGAAUAAGGAUCGGCUAACUCCGUGCCAGCAGCCGCGGUAAUAC
rnacentral:rRNA from 1 species